GCCGCCGUAGCUCAGUAGGAAAGAGCAGCCUUUUUGCGAAGGGACGGUCGGGAGUUCGAGUCUCCCCGGCGGCUCCA
rnacentral:tRNA from 1 species